GUUUAGAUAGUUUAAUUUAAAGCGUUGGUUUGUGGUGCCUAAGAAGUAGUAUUGUCUACUCUAAACC
rnacentral:tRNA from 1 species